rnacentral:piRNA from 1 species
UCUGGUGUCACCCAGAUAGAUUGUGCU